CUCUGGGUUAGUCGGGUCCUAAGCUGAGGCCGACAGGCGUAGGCGAUGGAUAACAGGUUGAUAUUCCUGUACCACCUAUAAUCGUUUUAAUCGAUGGGGGGACGCAGUAGGAUAGGCGAAGCGUGCGAUUGGAUUGCACGUCUAAGCAGUAAGGCUGAGUAUUAGGCAAAUCCGGUACUCGUUAAGGCUGAGCUGUGAUGGGGAGAAGACAUUGUGUCUUCGAGUCGUUGAUUUCACACUGCCGAGAAAAGCCUCUAGAUAGAAAAUAGGUGCCCGUACCGCAAACCGACACAGGUAGUCAAGAUGAGAAUUCUAAGGUGAGCGAGCGAACUCUCGUUAAGGAACUCGGCAAAAUGACCCCGUAACUUCGGGAGAAGGGGUGCUCUUUAGGGUUAACGCCCAGAAGAGCCGCAGUGAAUAGGCCCAAGCGACUGUUUAUCAAAAACACAGGUCUCUGCUAAACCGUAAGGUGAUGUAUAGGGGCUGACGCCUGCCCGGUGCUGGAAGGUUAAGAGGAGUGGUUAGCUUCUGCGAAGCUACGAAUCGAAGCCCCAGUAAACGGCGGCCGUAACUAUAACGGUCCUAAGGUAGCGAAAUUCCUUGUCGGGUAAGUUCCGACCCGCACGAAAGGCGUAACGAUUUGGGCACUGUCUCAACGAGAGACUCGGUGAAAUCAUAGUACCUGUGAAGAUGCAGGUUACCCGCGACAGGACGGAAAGACCCCGUGGAGCUUUACUGUAGCCUGAUAUUGAAAUUCGGCACAGCUUGUACAGGAUAGGUAGGAGCCUUUGAAACGUGAGCGCUAGCUUACGUGGAGGCGCUGGUGGGAUACUACCCUAGCUGUGUUGGCUUUCUAACCCGCACCACUUAUCGUGGUGGGAGACAGUGUCAGGCGGGCAGUUUGACUGGGGCGGUCGCCUCCUAAAAGG
rnacentral:rRNA from 1 species